CCUACGGGAGGCAGCAGUGAGGAAUAUUGGUCAAUGGGCGCUAGCCUGAACCAGCCAAGUAGCGUGAAGGAUGACUGUCCUAUGGGUUGUAAACUUCUUUUAUCUGGGAACAAAGUGCACUAUGUAUACUCCUAUGCAUGUACCUUAUGAAUAAGGAUCGGCUAACUCCGUGCCAGCAGCCGCGGUAAUACGGAGGAUCCGAGCGUUAUCCGGAUUUAUUGGGUUUAAAGGGUGCGUAGGCGGGUUGGUAAGUCAGUUGUCAAAGUCUGCGGCUCAACCGUAACAUUGCAGUUGAUACUGGCAGCCUUGAGUACAGUAGAGGUAGGCGGAAUGCGUGGUGUAGCGGUGAAAUGCUUAGAUAUCACGAAGAACUCCGAUUGCGAAGGCAGCCUGCUGGACUGUAACUGACGCUGAUGCACGAAAGUGUGGGUAUCAAACAGGAUUAGAUACCCUAGUAGUC
rnacentral:rRNA from 1 species